rnacentral:rRNA from 1 species
UCGAUUAGAUACCCCCGUAGUCCUAGCCGUAAACGAUACUCGCUAGGUGUCGGCCACGGUGCGACCGUUGUCGGUGCCGUAGGGAAGCCGUGAAGCGAGCCACCUGGGAAGUACGGCCGCAAGGCUGAAACUUAAAGGAAUUGGCGGGGGAGCACCACAACGGGUGGAGCUUGCGGUUUAAUUGGAUUCAACGCCGGAAAUCUUACCGGGACCGACAGCAAUAUGAAGGCCAGGCUGAAGACUUUGCCGGAUUAGCUGAGAGGUGGUGCAUGGCA